rnacentral:rRNA from 1 species
GAUGAACGCUGGCGGCGUGCUUAACACAUGCAAGUCGAACGGUGAACACGGAGCUUGCUCUGUGGGAUCAGUGGCGAACGGGUGAGUAACACGUGAGCAACCUGCCCCUGACUCUGGGAUAAGCGCUGGAAACGGCGUCUAAUACUGGAUAUGUGACGUGACCGCAUGGUCUGCGUUUGGAAAGAUUUUUCGGUUGGGGAUGGUCUCGGGGCCUAUCAGCUUGUUGGUGAGGUAAUGGCUCACCAAGGCGUCGACGGGUAGCCGGCCUGAGAGGGUGACCGGCCACACUGGGAUUGAGACACGGCCCAGACGCCUACGGGAGGCAGCAGUGGGGAAUAUUGAACAAUGGGCGAAAGCCUGAUGCAGCAACGCCGCGUGAGGGAUGACGGCCUUCGGGGUGUAAACCGUUUUUAGCAGGGAAGAAGCGAAAGUGACGGUAUCUGCAGAAAAAGCGCCGGCUAACUACGUG